rnacentral:rRNA from 1 species
UACGGAGGGUGCGAGCGUUGUCCGGAAUCAUUGGGCGUAAAGCGCGCGUAGGCGGCUUUGCAAGUCGAGUGUGAAAUCCCCAGGCUUAACCUGGGAACUGCAUUCGAGACUGCAUAGCUAGAGUAUGGGAGAGGGAAGUGGAAUUUCAGGUGUAGCGGUGAAAUGCGUAGAUAUCUGAAGGAACAUCAGUGGCGAAAGCGACUUCCUGGACCAAUACUGACGCUCAUGUGCGAAAGCGUGGGGAGCAAACAGG